rnacentral:rRNA from 1 species
GAUGAACGCUGACAGAAUGCUUAACACAUGCAAGUCGAUGGGGAAGUGGUGCUUGCACCCUGGUAACCAUGGCGGACGGGUGAGUAACGCGUAAGGAACUUGCCUGCGGGACUGGGAUAACAGCAGGAAACUGCUGAUAAUACCGGAUAAGGUCAUUAAGCUGCAUAGCUUAGUGAUGAAAGGAGACGCCUGCGGAGAGCCUUGCGUCCUAUUAGCUAGUUGGAGGGGUAACGGCCCACCAAGGCGAAGAUAGGUAGCCGGCCUGAGAGGGUGGACGGCCACAAGGGGACUGAGAUACGGCCCUUACUCCUACGGGAGGCAGCAGUGGGGAAUAUUGGACAAUGGGGGCAACCCUGAUCCAGCAAUUCUGUGUGCACGAAGACGGUUUUCGGAUUGUAAAGUGCUUUCAGCAGGGAAGAAGGAAGUGACGGUACCUGCAGAAGAAGCGACGGCCAAAUACGUG